AGCAGCCGCGGUAAUUCCAGCUCCAAUAGCGUAUAUUAAAGUUGUUGCAGUUAAAAAGCUCGUAGUUGAACCUUAGGCCCGUGCGGGCGGUCCGUCCUCAGGGCGAGAACUGCCUCGUCGCGGGUCUCACCUUCUGGCGAGCGCAGAUGCCAUUUAUUUGGUGUCUGCGGGAACCAGGACCUUUACCUUGAAAAAAUUAGAGUGCUCAAAGCGGGCUCCGACGCUUGAAUACAUUAGCAUGGAAUAAUGAAAUAGGACGAAGGUUCUAUUUUGUUGGUUUCUGGGACCUUUGUAAUGAUUAAUAGGGAUAGUUGGGGGCAUUCGUAUUCAAUUGUCAGAGGUGAAAUCCUUGGAUUUAUUGAAGACGAACUACUGCGAAAGCAUUUGCCAAGGAUGUUUUCAUUAAUCAAGAACGAAAGUUGGGGGAUCGAAGACGAUCAGAUACCGUCGUAGUCUCAACCAUAAACUAUGCCGACUGGGAAUCGGGCGAAGUUAUUUUUUGUGUACUCGCUCGGCGCCC
rnacentral:rRNA from 1 species